rnacentral:rRNA from 1 species
CCCGCUGAACUUAAGCAUAUCAAUAAGCGGAGGAAAAGAAACUAACAAGGAUUCCCCUAGUAACUGCGAGUGAAGCGGGAAGAGCUCAAAUUUAAAAUCUGGCGGUCUCGUGGCCGUCCGAGUUGUAAUCUGGAGAAGCGUUUUCCGCGUCGGACCGUGUACAAGUCUUCUGGAACGGAGCGUCGUAGAGGGUGAGAAUCCCGUCUCUGACACGGACAGCCGAUGCUUCAUGUGAUACGCUCUCGAAGAGUCGAGUUGUUUGGGAAUGCAGCUCAAAAUGGGUGGUAAAUUCCAUCUAAAGCUAAAUAUUGGCGAGAGACCGAUAGCGAACAAGUACCGUGAGGGAAAGAUGAAAAGCACUUUGGAAAGAGAGUUAAACGGUACGUGAAAUUGUUGAAAGGGAAACGUUUGAAGUCAGUCGCGUCGGCCGAGACUCAACCCCGCCUUUUGGCAGGGCGCAAUUCUCGGUCGACGGGUCAGCAUCAAUUUCGAUCGUCGGAUAAAGGUCGAGGGAACGUGGCAUCCUCUGGGGUGUGUUAUAGACCUCGAUUCGGAUACGGCGAUUGGGAUUGAGGAACUCGGCGCUCUGCGUCCAGGAUGCUGGCAUAAUGGCUUUAAGCGACCCGUCUUGAAACACGG